rnacentral:tRNA from 1 species
GAGGGUAGAGCUCAGUGGUAGAGCACAUGCUUAGCAUGCAGGAGGUCCUGGGUUCAAUCCCCAGUACCUCCU